rnacentral:rRNA from 1 species
UACAGAGGGGGCAAGCGUUGUUCGGAAUUACUGGGCGUAAAGGGCGCGUAGGCGGCCUGCUAAGUCGAACGUGAAAUCCCUGGGCUCAACCCAGGAACUGCGUCCGAUACUGGUUGGCUUGAAUUCGGGAGAGGGAUGCAGAAUUCCAGGUGUAGCGGUGAAAUGCGUAGAUAUCUGGAGGAAUACCGGUGGCGAAGGCGGCAUCCUGGACCGAUAUUGACGCUGAGGAGCGAAAGCUAGGGGAGCAAACGGG